rnacentral:miRNA from 1 species
ACACCGGGUCGUUUAUUUGCUUU